rnacentral:rRNA from 1 species
AACGAACGCUGGCGGCAUGCCUAACACAUGCAAGUCGAACGAGACCUUCGGGUCUAGUGGCGCACGGGUGCGUAACGCGUGGGAACCUGCCCUUAGGUUCGGAAUAACUCCCCGAAAGGGGUGCUAAUACCGGAUAAUGUCUUCGGACCAAAGAUUUAUCGCCUUUGGAUGGGCCCGCGUUGGAUUAGCUAGUUGGUAGGGUAAAAGCCUACCAAGGCGACGAUCCAUAGCUGGUCUGAGAGGAUGAUCAGCCACACUGGGACUGAGACACGGCCCAGACUCCUACGGGAGGAAGCAGUGGGGAAUAUUGGACAAUGGGCGAAAGCCUGAUCCAGCAAGGCCGCGUGAGUGAUGAAGGCCGUAGGGUUGUAAAGCUCUUUUACCCGGGAUGAUAAUGACAGUACCGGGAGAAUAAGCUCCGGCUAACUCCGUG